rnacentral:rRNA from 1 species
AGAGUUUGAUCAUGGCUCAGAGUGAACGCUGGCGGCAGGCCUAAUACAUGCAAGUCGAACGGCAGCACAGUGGAGCUUGCUCCAUGGGUGGCGAGUGGCGGACGGGUGAGGAAUACAUGGGAAUCUGCCCAGCCGUGGGGGAUAACGUAGGGAAACUUACGCUAAUACCGCAUGCGCCCUUCGGGGGAAAGCCGGGGACCGUAAGGCCUGGCGCGAUUGGAUGAGCCCAUGUCGGAUUAGCUAGUUGGCGGGUAAAGGCCCACCAAGGCGACGAUCCGUAGCUGGUCUGAGAGGAUGAUCAGCCACACUGGAACUGAGACACGGUCCAGACUCCUACGGGAGGCAGCAGUAGGGAAUAUUGGACAAUGGGCGCAAGCCUGAUCCAGCCAUGCCGCGUGAGUGAAGAAGGCCCUCGGGUUGUAAAGCUCUUUUGUCCGGAAAGAAAAGCGCCGGGUUAAUACCCUGGUGUCCUGACGGUACCGGAAGAAUAAGCACCGGCUAACUUCGUG